GAUGAACGCUGGCGGCGUGCCUAAUACAUGCAAGUCGAGCGAACGGACGAGAAGCUUGCUUUUCUGAUGUUAGCGGCGGACGGGUGAGUAAAACGUGGAUAACCUACCUAUAAGACUGGGAUAAAUUCGGGAAACCGGAGCUAAUACCGGAUAAUAUUUUGAACCGCAUGGUUCAAAAGUGAAAGACGGUCUUGUUGUCACUUAUAGAUGGAUCCGCGCUGCAUUAGCUAGUUGGUAAGGUAACGGCUUACCAAGGCAACGAUGCAUAGCCGACCUGAGAGGGUGAUCGGCCACACUGGAACUGAGACACGGUCCAGACUCCUACGGGAGGCAGCAGUAGGGAAUCUUCCGCAAUGGGCGAAAGCCUGACGGAGCAACGCCGCGUGAAUGAUGAAGGUCUUCGGAUCGUAAAGCUCUGUUAUUAGGGAAGAACAUAUGUGUAAGUAACUGUUCACAUCUUGACGUUACCUAAUCAGAAAGCCACGGCUAACUACGUG
rnacentral:rRNA from 1 species